rnacentral:lncRNA from 1 species
GUUUCUUAAAAGCAAGGACCAACCGGGCACUGUGGCUCACGCCUGCAAUCCUAGCACUUUGGUAGGCCGAGGCAGGUGGAUUGACUGAACUCAGGAGUUCAAGACCACCCUGGGCAACAUGGUGAAACCCUGUCUCUACUAAAAUACAAAAAAUUAGCUGGGCGUGGUGGUGGGGGCCUGUAGUCCCAGCUAUUCAGGAGGCUGAGGCACAAGAAUUGCUUGAGCUUGGGAGGCAGAGGUUGAGCCGAGAUCACACCACUGCACUCUAGCAUGGUCAACAGAGCGAGACUCAGCCUCCAAAAAAAAAAAAAAAAAAAAGCCAGAACCUUCUCUUACAUAACCAUAUUUUUUUUUUACUGUGGUUUGCCAGAUGUUUCCUUAAAUGCCUGGAGAAAAGGAAAUAAGGGAAGGAAAAAAGCAGUACAAAAGAAAAGAAAAAUUUCCAGGUCUUUGCAGAUUGGCUCUAUGUUGAAUCACUCCUUCUAUGCUUAGCCAUGCUGUUUGCAACUCUGUCUAAACCUCCACUUCUUGCUUGCACUGAGUCUAAAAAUCAGGCAGAGGUGAAAACUCAUGGUCUUCCCAGUUUUUCUCUAAGCAUGUGUCCUUCUCUUGGCAUGUGUGUGGCUUUCUAGAUUCCCCUGUAAACAUAGAAAACUUUCAAAGCUCUUAUUCUCCCCCAAAAUAUCAUUCUCUGGAUUUUCCUCUCAGGCUUUCAACAUGUCUGUUGUUUGAUCUAGCUGUUUUUUUGAUUGUUUGUUUUGCCCAGCCCAUAGCAGUUCAUUCAUUUGUUCUUAAUUGCUUUUAGGAAAAGUCUGUGUAGCUGCUCUAUCCUAGCAGAGUUCCAAGUUAGUUACAACAAAGAGAAACCCUAGUUAGGUUCAAAAGACAAAUCCUGGGCCGGCGCGGCGGCUCACACCUGUAAUCCUAGUACUUUGGAAGGCCAAGGUGGGUGGAUCACCUGAGGUCAAGAGUUUGAGACCAGCCUGGCCAACAUGGUGAAACCCCCUCUCUACUAAAAAUACAAAAAUUAUCUGGGCGUGGUGGCGGGCACCUGUAAUUCCAGCUACUUGGGAGGCUGAGGCAGGAGAAUGGCAUGAACCCGGGAGGCAGAGGCUGCUAUGAGCUGAGAUCACACCAUUGCACUCCAGCCUGGGUGAAAGAGCGAAACUCAGUCUCAAAAAAAAAAAAAAAAAAAAAAAAAAAAAAAUCAAAUCCUAUUCCAUAGGAACAAGGUCCACUCUGCUCUCUCUAGAACGAGGUAUCUGAACAGGGAACACAAGCUGCUGGCUCUAAGAUCACUGCUUCUCUAAGGAGGGGAUGGGGCUAAGAGGUGGAGUCUCCUCUGUCACCCAGGCUGGAGCGUAAUGGUGUGAUCUCGGGUCACUGCAACCUCCACCUCCCAGAUUCAAGUGAUUCUCCUGCCUCAGCCUCCUGAGCAGCUAGGAUUACAGGCACCUGCCACCACACCAAGCUAAUUUUUGUUUUUCGGUUUUUUUGAGAUGGAGUCUCGCUCGGUUGCCUGGCCUGGAGUGCGGUGGUGCAAUCUCGGCUCAUUGCAGCAUCCGCCUCCCCAGUUCAAGCUAUUCUCCAGCCUUAGCCUCCUGAGUAGCUGGGAUUACAGGCAUGCGCCACUGUGUCUGGCUAAUUUUUGUAUUUUUUAGUAGAGAUGGGGUUUCACCAUGUUGUCCAGGCUGAUCUCGAACUCCUGACCUCAGGUGAUUCGCCCACCUCGGCCUCUCAAAGUGCUAGGAUUACAAGCGUGAAACACUGUGCCUGGUCAAUUUGUAUGCUGUUCUCUAAGCCACUUCCUUAGAACCAUCUUCUAAUUCACUAACACUCUGUUUGUCUAUGUCCAUCUAAGAUAAUGUAUAUCUAGUUUAUUGAGGGUUUAUUACCAAUAACUUACUUUUUUCAUUUAGGAAAUUAUUUUCAGGAUUUCUAAUUGAUUCAUUUAUUUUUAAUUUUUAAAGUUUUCAUUUUGAAAUAAUUUUAGAUUUACAGAAGAGCUUCAGAGAUAGCAUAGCAAAUUCUUGUUUAUCCUCCACCCAGCUUUCCCUAAUGUUAACAGUUACGUAAUGUCUUGCAUAACUGAGACAUUUAUCAAAAGUAAGAAACUAAACUUGAUAUAAUACUAUUAACUUUAUUCAGAUUUCCUUAAUUUUUCUUUUUUCUUUUUUUCUGUUCAGAAUCCAAUCCAAGACACCAUGUUGAAUCUAGUUGUCAAGUCUCAAAUCCGUGACUGUACUCAGUCUUUCAUUGUCUCAUGACCUUGGCAUUUUUAAAGAGUACUGGGCAGGUUAUUUUGUCUAAUGUUCCUCAAUUUAGGUUUUUAUCUGAUGUUUUCUGUUAAGCUAGGGUUAUAGAUUUUGGGGAAGAAUGCUACAGAGGUAAAGUGCCCUUCUCAUCACAUCAUAUAAGGGGUUAUAAGAUAUCAGUCUGACAUUAUUAUUUAGGUUAACUUGAUCACUUGGUUAAGGUGGUAUCUCCAUUGUGCAGUUGCUAUUUUUCCCUUUCCAAAUUCUAUGCAUUAGAAGUGAGUCACUGAGUCCAGGCAAUACUGAAUAAGAGAGAAAUUGAGCUGUACUUCCCAGAGGGAGAUGAAUCAAAGAAUAUGUGUUCUUUCUUUCUUUAUUUAUUUAGAGACAGGGUCUCACUAUAUCUCCCAGGCUGUUCUCAAACCCCUGGCCUCAAAUGAUCCUCCUGUCUUGGCCUCCCACAGUGCUGGGAUUAUAGGCAUGAGCCAAUGCGCGAGAUCUCUUUUUACGUUUAUUCAAUUUGUUAUUCUUCCUUUAUCCCUUUGAGGAUCCAAGGCAUACUUGUGUUGAAGCCUUUUAUUUCUGUUGUUUUUUUCUUAGAUUGAGAGUAUCUGUGAAAAAGGUCUUUUAAAGAUUGUUCUUUUCUUUGCAUUUAUCUAUAGUGAAUUACCCUCCUAAUUAUGGAGGAUUUUACUUUGUUUGUUUUUUUGGUUGGUUUUUUUUUUUUUUUUUUUUUUGGUGUUGGUGUUGGGGAAUUUGUCCUGUCUACAAUUAAUUUUAAUAAGUUGAGGAAAUUUAUUUGCAGGUUCAUCUUAGAGUGGGAAGUUUUGCAAUUUCGUUCUGUUUUGUUUUGCUAUAACCUUCUUUCUCACUGCUCUCACCAUCCUUAUCUAGGGUUUUUGUGAAUUCAGUCAUGGCCCUGUAUGUUUGGCACAGAUCCUGGUUUUGUGGCCAUGUCUAUGUUGGCCUGGUUCCUGGGUAUGAGAGUUACAAAAGCUGCUGUCCCAGGCAGCAGAGGGCAGCAGCUUGUUUCAGCCUCUUUUUCUCACCUCAGCCCCUAGUUUUAUGAACUAAAACAGAUUCCAAGCCACUCUGACUGGAGCAUUUUCCUCUAUUAGAUUACUUUUUUUACUUUGAAAAAAAUUUUUUUUUUUUUUUGGAGAGUGGGUCUCACUCUGUUGCGCAGGCUGGAGUGCAGUGGUGCAAUUGUAGCUCACUGCAACCUCCACCUCCCCAGGCUUAGGUGAUUCUCCACCUCAGCCUCCCAAGUAGCUGGGACUACAGAUGCACGCCACCAUGCCCAGCUAAUUUUCGUAUUUUUUUGUAUAAACAGGGUUUCAUCAUGUUGCUCAGACUAGUCUCGAACUCCUGGCCUCAAGUGAUCCACCCAUCUCUACCUCCCAAAGUGCUAUGAUUACAGGUGUGAACCACCAUGCCCAGCCAAAAAUGAUGUUUUUAAUAGAUACAAAAAUAAAAUAGGUAAGUUCUCAUAAAAUUACUAUAUUUAAACAAUAGGGGCCAGGCGCAGUGGCUCACACCUGUAAUCCCAGCACUUUGGGAGGCUGAGGCAGGCGGAUCUUUGAGGUCAGGAGUUCAAAACCAGCCUGGCCAACAUGGUGAAAUCCCAUCUCUACUAAAAACACAAAAGAAUAGCCAGGCAGGGUGAUGGGCACCUGUAAUCCCAACUACUUGGGAGGAUGAGGCAGGAGAAUUGCUUGAGCCCGGGAGGCGGAGGUUGCAGUGAGCCGAGAUCGUGCCAUUGCACUCCAGCCUGGACAACAGAGCAAGACUCUGUCUCAGAAAGCAAACAAACAAACAAACAAAAAACCAACAGGGAAAAAUUUAUGUCUGCAAUUUUAUUUCAAUAAAUAAGCACACAAGUAGGUGGUAAGAAUACACACACAGAGAGGGAACAUCACAAUAUUUAUUGCAUUUAUUUCUUGGAAAUGGUUUUUGAUUGUUGUUUUGAGACAGGUCUCACUGCAAACUGCACAUCCUGGGCUCUAAAAAACCUCUAACCUCAGCCCCACCCCCAAUAGCUGGGACUACAAGUGCACACCACCACACCUGGCUAAUUUUUUUUUUUUUUUUAGCGUGUAACCUUUUUUUUUUUUUUUUAAUUUAUUUAUUUUUUAUUGAUCAUUCUUGGGUGUUUCUCACAGAGGGGGAUUUGGCAGGGUCACAGGACAAUAGUGGAGGGAAGGUCAGCAGAUAAACAAGUGAAC